rnacentral:rRNA from 1 species
CUUUACUGUAGCUUUGCACUGGCAUUCGUGAUUGCAUGUGUAGGAUAGGUGGUAGGCUUUGAAGCGCGGGCGCCAGCUCGUGUGGAGCCAACCUUGAAAUACCACCCUUGUGAUUAUGGAUGUCUAACCGCGUCCCGUUAUCCGGGGCCGGGACAGUGCAUGGUGGGCAGUUUGACUGGGGCGGUCGCCUCCCAAAGAGUAACGGAGGCGCGCGAUGGUGGGCUCAGAGCGGUCGGAAAUCGCUCGUUGAGUGCAAUGGCAUAAGCCUGCCUGACUGCGAGACUUACAAGUCGAGCAGAGACGAAAGUCGGUCAUAGUGAUCCGGUGGUCCCUCGUGGACGGGCCAUCGCUCAACGGAUAAAAGGUA